UCGACCUUAGCUCAGUUGGUAGAGCGGAGGACUGUAGUUUGAUUAAUCUAGGUUGGAAUCCUUAGGUCGCUGGUUCGAAUCCGGCAGGUCGGA
rnacentral:tRNA from 1 species